CGAAAACGGUUCUGAGCGGAGCGUUAUUAUACAGUCGUGUUUUAUCGUUUGUCGCCAUAGUGGUCCGGUAAUCGAUGAAAACUGUACAUGUGUACGUAAAAUUGCCAGUUUUUCCCUUUCGUUAAGAAAAACAACGAGGAAACGCGAAAAACGUACCGAUUAUAGAUCGAAAAUUAUGCGAGAAAGUUCCAAUAAAGUUUUCAAUGGGGGCGCGAUCUCCGGUAGAAAAGUUGUUCA